GAUCAGCAUCAGACUGGACAGUUUCCUUUUGGUUCCCUUGAUGCAAAAUGUGCCUGUUGAGAAGGCAUCUGUUUAAGGGAUUACAGAGUGCAAAUGGUGAUGUGCAGAGACCUCUAGAGACCACAGCGCCUUACUGCACUUAAUCACAUGCAGAUAGGGCUCCGUGCCGAAGUCAUGACGUCAUCGGGAACGGUGAAACUGGCCAGAAAAUGAACAAGGUAACUAGCUAUAGCUUGAGAGGCCGGACUCGCAAAUGUCGCAUGGUUUGGGCUUUUCCCGCCCCCCUACCUCCACUUCUAAAUGAGUUAAUUAAGAUCAGAAUAUGGGCCCUUAUGGAUUCAAGAAACAUACCUGAAUACAACAAGAAAACAACUGAAAAAAGAGUUGAAAUACAUUAAUAAAGAUCAGUCUGUCAACAUUCCUUUGAAGAGCCCACGGCCACACACACGCCCCACCCCCAAAAGCAAUGUUAUGAAAUGGUAAAUUGGAUUAAUUGUUGUAUUAAGUUAAGCA
rnacentral:lncRNA from 1 species